rnacentral:rRNA from 1 species
GUGGGGAAUAUUGGACAAUGGGCGAAAGCCUGAUCCAGCCAUGCCGCGUGUGUGAAGAAGGUCUUCGGAUUGUAAAGCACUUUGAGUUGGGAGGAAGGGCAGUAAGUUAAUACCUUGCUGUUUUGACGUUACCGACAGAAUAAGCACCGGCUAACUUCGUGCCAGCAGCCGCGGUAAUACGAAGGGUGCAAGCGUUAAUCGGAAUUACUGGGCGUAAAGCGCGCGUAGGUGGUUUUGUAAGUUGGAGGUGAAAUCCCCGGGCUCAACCUGGGAACUGCCUCCAAAACUGCAUGACUAGAGUACGGUAGAGGGUAGUGGAAUUUCCUGUGUAGCGGUGAAAUGCGUAGAUAUAGGAAGGAACACCAGUGGCGAAGGCGACUACCUGGACUGAUACUGACACUGAGGUGCGAAAGCGUGGGGAGCAAACAGGAUUAGAAACCCGGGUAGUCC